AUGAGUUCUUCUAUUUCUAAACAGAGUACAAGCACAGGCUGAGCUCUUUUGGGAAGAAAAUCAAACUUGACCACAGAAAAUAGUAAAAUACCUCAUGAAAAAAAUACUCUACUUUUAACAGUUCUUUGAAACCUCGACUCUGAUCAUGAUCAUGAAGUCUCAAAAAUGCAAAUCAGGACAAAACACCAAGUACCCAGAGGACAAAAUGUUGAAAAGUUUGACUACUUGAAAAAUUGUGGAAAACUGAAAGCCUGAAUUGGAAUGCUGAUUGGGACCCUUCCAGGAUGUGUUACUUUAGGCUGGCUAUGUAAUCAUUGGUUUUUGUUCUUGUUAGUUUGUUUGUUUUAGUUUUGGUUUUUAGCUGUAGAGAUUAUAAACUCUAUCAUCCAGAAGGA